CCCCCCCCCAUCACUUUUCUAAUGGUCCGUCCCUAAUUAACAGCAAUGGCACCUAUUUAUAAAAUUAAGUAACUACUACCACAGGUAUUAACUGUGCUACUACCACUAUAAUACGUCAAUAUUAUAUAUUUACUGUUCAAUUUCAGUUUUCUAUGUUUCUAUGUUUUGUUUUUCAUCAGUCAUACAGAGAUAAAACAACCAGGCCCGGAGCUACGGGGGGGUGUGGGGGGGUGUGACACCCCCCCAGUAAUUGUAUUCAGUCGGCAGGACUGCUAUUCAGUCGGUAGAACUGCUAUUUGGGUUAAAUAUUUUUGGCGCAAAGGGCAAUAACGUGGUGGGAAAUUUAGGAAAAUUUUGAGGAAAAAUGUAAAAAAUUUUCGAAAAAUUUUAAAAAAUGUUGAAAAUUUGCUGUGUGGAAAAUUUUUGAAUGUUGCGGAAAAUUUUUGUACGUUCGGAAAAAUUUUUUGACCCCUAAAAUGGU